rfam:Oscillatoriales cyanobacterium 'hensonii' Contig_21, whole genome shotgun sequence.
GUUUCCGUCCCCUUGCGGGGAAUGGGUAAUGAAAC